AAACGAUGUGAAGUUACUUAAACAACCAGGAGGUUGGCUUAGAAGCAGCCAUCCUUUAAAGAAAGCGUAAUAGCUCACUGGUCUAGUGAUUUUGCGCGGAAAAUAUAACGGGGCUAAAGUAAGUACCGAAGCUGUAGACUUGCGCACAACUUAGAUUAUUUAAGUUUAGAAUAUGAGAAACUAAGUUAUAUGUUUAGUUAUAUUUUUACUGAUUUUUAUAGAGUAAAGAUAGAAAUAAAACUUAGUAAAAUCAGUAAAAAUAUUCUUAGACUAAAGUUAAGUAGUUUAAGUUGUGUGCAAGUGGUAGGAGAGCGUUCUAUUUGCGUCGAAGGUAUACCGGUAAGGAGUGCUGGAGCGAAUAGAAGUGAGCAUGCAGGCAUGAGUAGCGAUAAUUAAUGUGAGAAUCAUUAACGCCGUAAACCCAAGGUUUCCUACGCGAUGCUCGUCAUCGUAGGGUUAGUCGGGUCCUAAGUCGAGUCCGAAAGGGGUAGACGAUGGCAAAUUGGUUAAUAUUCCAAUACCAACAUUAGUGUGCGAUGGAAGGACGCUUAGGGCUAAGGGGGCUAGCGGAUGGAAGUGCUAGUCUAAGGUCGUAGGAGGUUAUACAGGCAAAUCCGUAUAACAAUACUCCGAGAACUGAAAGGCUUUUUGAAGUCUUCGGAUGGAUAGAAGAACCCCUGAUGCCAUCGAGCCAAGAAAAGUUUCUAAGUUUAGCUAAUGUUGCCCGUACCGUAAACCGACACAGGUGGGUGGGAUGAGUAUUCUAAGGCGCGUGGAAGAACUCUCUUUAAGGAACUCUGCAAAAUAGCACCGUAUCUUCGGUAUAAGGUGUGGUUCGCUUCGUAUUAGGAUUUACUCCGAAAGCGAAGAAACUUACAACAAAGAGUCCCUCCCGACUGUUUACCAAAAACACAGCACUCUGCUAACUCGUAAGAGGAUGUAUAGGGUGUGACGCCUGCCCGGUGCUCGAAGGUUAAUUGAUGGGGUUAGCAUUAGCGAAGCUCUUGAUCGAAGCCCGAGUAAACGGCGGCCGUAACUAUAACGGUCCUAAGGUAGCGAAAUUCCUUGUCGGUUAAAUACCGACCUGCAUGAAUGGCGUAACGAGAUGGGAGCUGUCUCAAAGAGGGAUCCAGUGAAAUUGUAGUGGAGGUGAAAAUUCCUCCUACCCGCGGCAAGACGGAAAGACCCCGUGGACCUUUACUACAGCUUGACACUGCUAUUUGGAUAAGAAUGUGCAGGAUAGGUGGGAGGCUUUGAGUAUAUGACGCCAGUUGUAUAUGAGCCAUUGUUGAGAUACCACUCUUUCUUAUUUGGGUAGCUAACCAGCUUGAGUUAUCCUCAAGUGGGACAAUGUCUGGUGGGUAGUUUGACUGGGGCGGUCGCCUCCCAAAUAAUAACGGAGGCUUACAAAGGUUGGCUCAGAACGGUUGGAAAUCGUUCGUAGAGUAUAAAGGUAUAAGCCAGCUUAACUGCAAGACAUACAAGUCAAGCAGAGACGAAAGUCGGUCUUAGUGAUCCGGUGGUUCUGUGUGGAAGGGCCAUCGCUCAAAGGAUAAAAGGUACCCCGGGGAUAACAGGCUGAUCUCCCCCAAGAGCUCACAUCGACGGGGAGGUUUGGCACCUCGAUGUCGGCUCAUCGCAUCCUGGGGCUGGAGCAGGUCCCAAGGGUAUGGCUGUUCGCCAUUUAAAGCGGUACGCGAGCUGGGUUCAGAACGUCGUGAGACAGUUCGGUCCCUAUCUGCCGUGGGCGUAAGAAGAUUGAAGAGAUUUGACCCUAGUACGAGAGGACCGGGUUGAACAAACCACUGGUGUAGCUGUUGUUCUGCCAAGAGCAUCGCAGCGUAGCUAAGUUUGGAAAGGAUAAACGCUGAAAGCAUCUAAGCGUGAAGCCAACUCUAAGAUGAAUCUUCUCUAAGCUCUCUAGAAGACUACUAGUUUGAUAGGCUGGGUGUGUAAUGGAUGAAAGUCCUUUAGCUGACCAGUACUAAUAGAGCGUUUGGCUUAUCUUUAAUAAAGCAU
rnacentral:rRNA from 1 species